rnacentral:rRNA from 1 species
ACAACAGGUGGAGCCUGCGGUUUAAUCGGACUCAACGCCGGGAAACUCACCAGAUAAGACAGCUGAAUGAUAGUCGGGCUGAAGACUCUACUUGACUAGCUGAGAGGAGGUGCAUGGCCGUCGUCAGUUCGUACUGUGAAGCAUCCUGUUAAGUCAGGCAACGAGCGAGACCCACGCCAACAGUUGCCAGCUCGUCCUCCGGGAUGGUGGGGACACUGUUGGGACCGCCUCUGCUAAAGAGAGGAAGGAAUGGGCAACGGUAGGUCAGCAUGCCCCGAAUUAUCUGGGCUACACGCGGGCUACAAUGGGUGGGACAAUGGGUAUCGACACCGAAAGGUGAAGGCAAUCUCCUAAACCCAUCCGUAGUUCGGAUUGUGGGCUGCAACUCGCCCACAUGAAGCUGGAAUCUGUAGUAAUCGUGUCUCAAAAUGGCACGGUGAAUAUGUCCCUGCUCCUU